rnacentral:rRNA from 1 species
ACGAACGCUGGCGGCGUGCUUAACACAUGCAAGUCGAACGGAAAGGCCCUGCUUUUGUGGGGUGCUCGAGUGGCGAACGGGUGAGUAACACGUGAGUAACCUGCCCUUGACUUUGGGAUAACUUCAGGAAACUGGGGCUAAUACCGGAUAGGAGCUCCUGCUGCAUGGUGGGGGUUGGAAAGUUUCGGCGGUUGGGGAUGGACUCGCGGCUUAUCAGCUUGUUGGUGGGGUAGUGGCUUACCAAGGCUUUGACGGGUAGCCGGCCUGAGAGGGUGACCGGCCACAUUGGGACUGAGAUCCGGCCCAGACUCCUACGGGAGGCAGCGGUGGGGAAUAUGGAACAAUGGGGGGAAGCCUGAUGCGGCAACGCCGCGGGCGGAAUGACGGCUUUGGGGUUGUAAACGGCUUUCGCCUGUGACGACGCGUGAGUGACGGUAAAGGGUAAAGAAGCCCCGGCUAACUAC